UACAGAGGGGGCAAGCGUUGUUCGGAAUUACUGGGCGUAAAGGGCGCGUAGGCGGCCUGCUAAGUCGAACGUGAAAUCCCCGGGCUCAACCCGGGAACUGCGUCCGAUACUGGUUGGCUUGAAUUCGGGAGAGGGAUGUGGAAUUCCAGGUGUAGCGGUGAAAUGCGUAGAUAUCUGGAGGAACCCCAGAGGCGAAGGCGGCGUCCUGGCUCGCAUCUGACGCUCAGACACGACAGCAUGGGGAGCGAACGGG
rnacentral:rRNA from 1 species